rnacentral:rRNA from 1 species
CUGCUGCCUCCCGUAGGAGUCUGGCCGUGUCUCAGUCCAGUGUGGGGGGCCUUCCUCUCAGAACCCCUACGCAUCGUCGCACGGUGGGCCGU